ensembl:lncRNA
CGGUAGUGACGUCAUGGGCUGUCGCCAGCCAACAUGUUGUUAGUGAUUUUCAAUGUAUGCUUCAGACACGGGUCACGAUGAGGCAUUCCCCAUAGCGACCCCUAGAGGACGCAGUCUCUCGUUCCCUACUCAGGGAACCAUGGUUACAUAAGUAACCUGAGAUGUUUUCUCUUUCCUCACAUGUUUCAGGGUGACACAACACUGCUGUACCUGCUCUGUGGAUGUGUGUGAGUUUGUUUCCUGACUUGGAAGCAAAGAGCUUGUUACAGAUCUCCCUAGGAGAUGCCUGGGGAAAGACAGACAGCCAUUUCCAACAUGUCUACAGUUGUCUUUUUCUCAUUCUCCUCGUCCCUUUUUUUUAAUUGAAGCCAGUGCUGUCUGGAGUGUCAGACAAUGUGUGGAGCUCCCAACGGCAGCAGGAAAAGCCCUGGAUGUCCAUGGCAUCUGCUGCCUGACACUCGGCCCACAGUGGAAAUUCCUUAUCCCUGCUCUGGUGUCUGCAUGUGUGUUUUAAGUCUAAGUGGAGUGACAUGGGGGACGGGAAGAGGAAGCAGCCAAAUACACUGCGGUCCGAGUUUAAUUGACUGUGUGCUGGAGUUCAUCAAAGUUGCUAUGGCAUAUGUGGACACAUUUUUCAGUUUUCUUUUACACAUGCAUAUAGAUGCGUCUCCACCACAGUGAGGAUGUCGAGGUAGCCUACUUCUUUUGUGUGUCUCUUGAUAUGAGCUCUCUUCAGAGUGCUGUAAAGUCACCAGACUGCUCCGUUUCAGGCUGUCCUCACGGCAGCCAUAGCUGGGGAGCGCAAUGUUGGCGUCUGCAACACUAACUGAGCUCCUCAACAGCUGAAUGGCAUCACUCCCCUUCGCUUUGCCAAAAAGAGGGGUAGUGUGUUGCUUGGUAACAGUUCCAGGAUAUUCAGAUGAGGUCUGAUAUGGCAGUCGGCUGAGGAUUGAAGAGUGGAGAGGGGUGUAGAGCUAUUUAUUCAUUUAACCGGCAGCUGCUAACCUUGGAUAAUUAUAUGGAAUUUGAAGUGAGCGGCAUAUUUGCAUAAUCCUUAAGCCCCCCCCCACCACCACUACCACCACCAACAGCAACAAUAAUCUGACCAUGAACUUUUUCACACCGUCGCUGGGUUUUAUUGUCAUUCUGAAUAAACUGUUAACCUUUAUUGUCUGUUCCUCGCGC